UACGAAGGGGGCUAGCGUUGCUCGGAAUCACUGGGCGUAAAGCGCACGUAGGCGGAUUGUUAAGUCAGGGGUGAAAUCCUGGAGCUCAACUCCAGAACUGCCUUUGAUACUGGCGAUCUUGAGUCCGGGGAGAGGUGAAGUGGAACUGCGAGUGUAGAGGUGAAAUUCGUAGAUAUUCGCAAGAACACCAGUGGCGAAGGCGGCUCACUGGCCCGGUACUGACGCUGAGGUGCGAAAGCGUGGGGAGCAAACAGG
rnacentral:rRNA from 1 species